rnacentral:rRNA from 1 species
ACUAGAGUCCACUAAAGAGCCGUUCGAGACCAGGACGUAGAUAGGCAGGGUGUGUAAGCGUUGUGAGGCGUUGAGCUAACCUGUACUAAUGACUCGAGAGGCUUAACCAU